AUACGGAGGGUGCAAGCGUUACUCGGAAUCACUGGGCGUAAAGCGCGCGCAGGCGGCUUGAUAAGUUGGAUGUGAAAGCCUACGGCUCAACCGUAGAACUGCAUCCAAAACUGUCAGGCUAGAGUGUGGGAGAGGAAGAUGGAAUUAGUUGUGUAGGGGUAAAAUCCGUAGAGAUAACUAGGAAUACCAAAAGCGAAGGCAAUCCUCUGGAACACUACUGACGCUGAGGCGCGAAGGCGUGGGGAGCAAACAGGAUUAGAAACCCCAGUAGUCC
rnacentral:rRNA from 1 species